UACGGAGGGUGCAAACGUUGCUCGGAAUCAUUGGGCGUAAAGCGAACGUAGGCGGCUAUGUAAGUCGGGUGUGAAAGCCCUCGGCUCAACCCGAGGAAGUGCAUUCGAAACUGCAUGGCUUGAGUAUCGGAGAGGAUAGCGGAAUUCCCGGUGUAGAGGUGAAAUUCGUAGAUAUCGGGAGGAACACCAGUGGCGAAGGCGGUUCGUCUGGGCAUUACCGUGGACGCUGAGGAGGACGGAAAGCAUGGG
rnacentral:rRNA from 1 species